UUUCUUUUAUUCUUCCCUCUAUACGUUGGUGUUCUAACCAAUAAUCACCAAAGCGAUGUUCUGUCCAAUCGAUUCAGGAACCAACUAACGAAUGCCAAAGUGUUGUACUUUGUGAAUUUCGGUAAACGGAAUCCAAAGUGCUAUAAUUUGUGAGUUCAAUAAAUGGAUGCCAAAGUACUGUCUGAAUAAGACUAUACUUUGUGAAAUUCGUUAAGGUUCGAAUCUCGUGAUUAUCGUUAGGUUUGAUAUGGUUUUACACAAAUACGUAUUCCAUUCUGUUAAACUAUAUGUUUAACUACCAGAAUAGUCCCAACUACACACUUACAAUCAAACAAGCUGUUAAAUCAUCAGAAGGAGUAGAAUCAAGAAGCUUGUUAAAUCAAUACUGCAUGCUUAUACUGGAUUAAGUCGUGGUUAUCUUGAAUCACUGUCUACUGGGGUAUUUUGCACAUUACUAAUUUUCUCACGGGUUAGGCAAAUAAGCCCUAAGACAUGUUAGGCUAAUAAGCCCUAACAGUGAUAAUUCUCACUACUUGGGUGAAAGGAUCCAAUAGUGGCAUGACCAUCGUCACCAGGAGGUGACACGGCGUUAGAUAAAAAUAAGAUACUGCCAUUGUAAUCGCUCUUAUGCUGUAAUUUAUAACUAAGGGUCAUUUUAUAAAAUCUGAAUGAACUCACUCAGUAUUUCCUGCUGACAAAACCUUUUUAAAACGCGUUUCAGGUAAUUACAAUAGAUCGGAAUAAGAGUUGGAUACGGCACCAACAAGACUUACAGAAGUGGCUCAUUUUAUCAAUUAAAUUAAAUUAAGAAUUAUCAUUUUAUGUAUCCGGGUUUAUCCCAUAUUAAAAGCUACCUUUGUAAAACAUGGGUUUAUCCCCGUCUAUUUUAAAUAAAUAAAAAUCCGGUGUUUUCUAAACUCUGAUGUUUUUCCUAACUCACGGUCCUGAUGAAAUUUCCGCUGUAAUGUUUUUUUAAAAAUAACCACCGGUACCACUUGGCUGUUCGCGGCUCCCGAUUCCGUCCAGGGUGGGGUCGGGGGCCGUGACACAAACUUAGCGAACAAAAUAAAAUCGGUUGCAAAUGUAGCGACAAAAAAAUCUAUAGUAAAUGUAGCAGCGGAGUUUUUUUCGGUCGCACAACAAUCGCAAAUGUACCAAUCAACUUUUUUCCCUUGUAAAUGUAGCACCCAAAUUAAUUCGAUUGUAAAAUUGUCGCAAAUUUAG
rnacentral:lncRNA from 1 species